GGUUAAGCGACUAAGCGUACACGGUGGAUGCCCUGGCAGUCAGAGGCGAUGAAGGACGUGCUAAUCUGCGAUAAGCGUCGGUAAGGUGAUAUGAACCGUUAUAACCGGCGAUUUCCGAAUGGGGAAACCCAGUGUGUUUCGACACACUAUCAUUAACUGAAUCCAUAGGUUAAUGAGGCGAACCGGGGGAACUGAAACAUCUAAGUACCCCGAGGAAAAGAAAUCAACCGAGAUUCCCCCAGUAGCGGCGAGCGAACGGGGAGCAGCCCAGAGCCUGAAUCAGUGUGUGUGUUAGUGGAAGCGUCUGGAAAGGCGCGCGAUACAGGGUGACAGCCCCGUACACAAAAAUGCACAUGCUGUGAGCUCGAUGAGUAGGGCGGGACACGUGGUAUCCUGUCUGAAUAUGGGGGGACCAUCCUCCAAGGCUAAAUACUCCUGACUGACCGAUAGUGAACCAGUACCGUGAGGGAAAGGCGAAAAGAACCCCGGCGAGGGGAGUGAAAAAGAACCUGAAACCGUGUACGUACAAGCAGUGGGAGCACGCUUAGGCGUGUGACUGCGUACCUUUUGUAUAAUGGGUCAGCGACUUAUAUUCUGUAGCAAGGUUAACCGAAUAGGGGAGCCGAAGGGAAACCGAGUCUUAACUGGGCGUUAAGUUGCAGGGUAUAGACCCGAAACCCGGUGAUCUAGCCAUGGGCAGGUUGAAGGUUGGGUAACACUAACUGGAGGACCGAACCGACUAAUGUUGAAAAAUUAGCGGAUGACUUGUGGCUGGGGGUGAAAGGCCAAUCAAACCGGGAGAUAGCUGGUUCUCCCCGAAAGCUAUUUAGGUAGCGCCUCGUGAAUUCAUCUCCGGGGGUAGAGCACUGUUUCGGCAAGGGGGUCAUCCCGACUUACCAACCCGAUGCAAACUGCGAAUACCGGAGAAUGUUAUCACGGGAGACACACGGCGGGUGCUAACGUCCGUCGUGAAGAGGGAAACAACCCAGACCGCCAGCUAAGGUCCCAAAGUCAUGGUUAAGUGGGAAACGAUGUGGGAAGGCCCAGACAGCCAGGAUGUUGGCUUAGAAGCAGCCAUCAUUUAAAGAAAGCGUAAUAGCUCACUGGUCGAGUCGGCCUGCGCGGAAGAUGUAACGGGGCUAAACCAUGCACCGAAGCUGCGGCACGACGCUUAUGCGUUGUUGGGUAGGGGAGCGUUCUGUAAGCCUGUGAAGGUGUGCUGUGAGGCAUGCUGGAGGUAUCAGAAGUGCGAAUGCUGACAUAAGUAACGAUAAAGCGGGUGAAAAGCCCGCUCGCCGGAAGACCAAGGGUUCCUGUCCAACGUUAAUCGGGGCAGGGUGAGUCGACCCCUAAGGCGAGGCCGAAAGGCGUAGUCGAUGGGAAACAGGUUAAUAUUCCUGUACUUGGUGUUACUGCGAAGGGGGGACGGAGAAGGCUAUGUUGCCGGGCGACGGUUGUCCCGGUUUAAGCGUGUAGGCUGGUUUUCCAGGCAAAUCCGGAAAAUCAAGGCUGAGGCGUGAUGACGAGGCACUACGGUGCUGAAGCAACAAAUGCCCUGCUUCCAGGAAAAGCCUCUAAGCAUCAGGUAACAUCAAAUCGUACCCCAAACCGACACAGGUGGUCAGGUAGAGAAUACCAAGGCGCUUGAGAGAACUCGGGUGAAGGAACUAGGCAAAAUGGUGCCGUAACUUCGGGAGAAGGCACGCUGAUAUGUAGGUGAAGUCCCUCGCGGAUGGAGCUGAAAUCAGUCGAAGAUACCAGCUGGCUGCAACUGUUUAUUAAAAACACAGCACUGUGCAAACACGAAAGUGGACGUAUACGGUGUGACGCCUGCCCGGUGCCGGAAGGUUAAUUGAUGGGGUCAGCGCAAGCGAAGCUCUUGAUCGAAGCCCCGGUAAACGGCGGCCGUAACUAUAACGGUCCUAAGGUAGCGAAAUUCCUUGUCGGGUAAGUUCCGACCUGCACGAAUGGCGUAAUGAUGGCCAGGCUGUCUCCACCCGAGACUCAGUGAAAUUGAACUCGCUGUGAAGAUGCAGUGUACCCGCGGCAAGACGGAAAGACCCCGUGAACCUUUACUAUAGCUUGACACUGAACAUUGAGCCUUGAUGUGUAGGAUAGGUGGGAGGCUUAGAAGUGUGGACGCCAGUCUGCAUGGAGCCGACCUUGAAAUACCACCCUUUAAUGUUUGAUGUUCUAACGUUGACCCGUAAUCCGGGUUGCGGACAGUGUCUGGUGGGUAGUUUGACUGGGGCGGUCUCCUCCUAAAGAGUAACGGAGGAGCACGAAGGUUGGCUAAUCCUGGUCGGACAUCAGGAGGUUAGUGCAAUGGCAUAAGCCAGCUUGACUGCGAGCGUGACGGCGCGAGCAGGUGCGAAAGCAGGUCAUAGUGAUCCGGUGGUUCUGAAUGGAAGGGCCAUCGCUCAACGGAUAAAAGGUACUCCGGGGAUAACAGGCUGAUACCGCCCAAGAGUUCAUAUCGACGGCGGUGUUUGGCACCUCGAUGUCGGCUCAUCACAUCCUGGGGCUGAAGUAGGUCCCAAGGGUAUGGCUGUUCGCCAUUUAAAGUGGUACGCGAGCUGGGUUUAGAACGUCGUGAGACAGUUCGGUCCCUAUCUGCCGUGGGCGCUGGAGAACUGAGGGGGGCUGCUCCUAGUACGAGAGGACCGGAGUGGACGCAUCACUGGUGUUCGGGUUGUCAUGCCAAUGGCACUGCCCGGUAGCUAAAUGCGGAAGAGAUAAGUGCUGAAAGCAUCUAAGCACGAAACUUGCCCCGAGAUGAGUUCUCCCUGACCCUUUAAGGGUCCUGAAGGAACGUUGAAGACGACGACGUUGAUAGGCCGGGUGUGUAAGCGCAGCGAUGCGUUGAGCUAACCGGUACUAAUGAACCGUGAGGCUUAACCUU
rnacentral:rRNA from 1 species